rnacentral:rRNA from 1 species
CCUACGGGGUGCAGCAGUAGGGAAUCUUUCACAAUGGGCGAAAGCCUGAUGGAGCAACGCCGCGUGCAGGAUGAAGGCCUUCGGGUUGUAAACUGCUUUUAUAAGCGAGAAAUAUGAUGGUAACUUAUGAAUAAGGAUCGGCUAACUACGUGCCAGCAGCCGCGGUCAUACGUAGGAUCCGAGCAUUAUCCGGAGUGACUGGGUGUAAAGAGUUGCGUAGGUGGCAUAAUAAGUAGCUAGUGAAAUCUGGUGGCUCAACCAUUCAGACUAUUAGCUAAACUGUUAAGCUCGAGACCGUUAGGGGUAACUGGAAUUUCUAGUGUAGGAGUGAAAUGCGUAGAUAUUAGAAGGAACACCAAUAGCGUAGGCAGGUUACUGGGACGGUUCUGACACUAAGGCACGAAAGCGUAGGGAGCAAACGGGAUUAGAUACCCGAGUAGUC